UAUCUCUGUAGAGUCUGCAUAUCAAUAAGCGGAGGAAAAGAAACUAACUAGGAUUCCCUCAGUAACGGCGAGUGAAGCGGGAAGAGCUCAAAUUUGAAAUCUUCAAGGUUCUACCUUGACGAAUUGUAGUUUAAAGAAGUGUUUUCUGUUGGAGUUUUGGUAAAAGUUCUUUGGAAUAGGACAUCAUAGAGGGUGAGAAUCCCGUAUUUGACCAUUAUUUCCAGCUUUGUGAUACACUUUCAAAGAGUCGGAUUGUUUGGGAAUGCAGUCCAAAAUGGGUGGUAAAUUUCAUCUAAAGCUAAAUACUGGCGAGAGACCGAUAGCGAACAAGUACCGUGAGGGAAAGAUGAAAAGAACUUUGAAAAGAGAGUUAAACAGUACGUGAAAUUGUCAAAAGGGAAGCGUUUGACACCAGUGUUGUUUUCUCGAAAAUCAACUAAAAAAGGCAGGAUUUUGUGUUGUAUUGACUUUAUCAGCUUUCUGCACUCUUUUCUUGUCUUUUUUUAAUGCACUUUUCGUUUAACAAGUCAACAUCAAUUUCUUUUGUUGUAAAAGGGUCAUUGGAAGGUGGCUUUCUUUUCGGAGAAAGUGUUUAUAGCCUUUGGCCUCUGCAAUCGGAGAGAUUGAGGUCUGCAGCGUAGAUCCUUCGGGGUUAGAUACAUUUGUGCUAAGUUAUAGCCUUUCAUAGACAACUUGUUGACUAUGAUCAGUCAUGUAGCUUACUCGCUUAUGCUAUUUUACCUACGCUUAGGAUGUUGAUAGUCACAGCGUGUAC
rnacentral:rRNA from 1 species